rnacentral:lncRNA from 11 species
UUUGCAUUGCCCGACUUACCAGGCAAGGGCUGUUGUGGCUCAUCAUGGCACUGCAGGGGGCUUCUUCCCAGAAGCCCUCUGUGUGGCAGGAAAUUCAUUUAAGGCUGCCCGGAGGGCCAGAGCAGACAUCGGGCCUGCUUUUCAUUGUUGAGACAGCAGCAGCAAGGACAGCAGCAGCAGCAGACACAAGGAAAUUUCAGCAGACGUGUUGGCAGGCCUUCAUUCCAAGUAGAAACUAUCUCAUCAGGAAGCUUAAAAGGACUCUUGCUAAAAUCCAUGACUUAGCUUUGCCUCUCUCCUGCUGAAAUCACUAGUUUCAGGUACCAGUCUUGCCAAGUUCCUGUUUGGAGAAUUCAAGUGGAUUUCUAGCUUCAUGGUUCCGGUAUUGCUAAGUUCCUGUUCUGAGUAUUGGGAUUUUAUGCUGCCUUGUUCUUGUGGAUUUUACAACCUUGUACUUUGUGUUUUAUAUUUGUACCUUGAGAUUCAUGGACUAAUUGUUGCAUUUUGAAAAUUCCUUUUUGGUUUAUACUUUUUGCAGCAUUUUUAUUGCUUGGCUUUCAUAUAUUCUUCAAUAAACUGCUUGCUGGUGUGGUGUCUAAGGUCAGAGGGGUUCCAGCUCUGGAGUACAACAUAAAUAGAGUAAAACACCUUUAUGUUUGAAGUCUCUGAAUCUUGAAAUCAAACUUGUAUGUGUCUUGAUUUCACACAUACAAGUUGCAUGCAAGCAGGCCUGUAGCCGGGAGGGGGGGGGUUAGGGGUUCAAACCACCCCCAAAAUUUUUCAGGUUAAAAAAAAACCU